rnacentral:rRNA from 1 species
UACGUAGGGUGCAAGCGUUGUCCGGAAUUAUUGGGCGUAAAGAGCUCGUAGGUGGCCUGUCGCGUCGGCUGUGAAAACUCGGGGCUCAACUCCGAGCUUGCAGUCGAUACGGGCAGGCUAGAGUUCGGCAGGGGAGACUGGAAUUCCUGGUGUAGCGGUGAAAUGCGCAGAUAUCAGGAGGAACACCGGUGGCGAAGGCGGGUCUCUGGGCCGAUACUGACGCUGAGGCGCGAAAGCGUGGGGAGCAAACAGG